GUGAGUCCAUAGAGUAAAGUGAAGGCAAGUUUAUUAAGAAAUUAAAGGAAUAAAAGAAUGCCUACUCCAUAGGCAGAGCAGUGGUAUGGGCUGCUUGAUUAAGUAUAAUAGUUAUUUCUUGAUUAUAUUCUUAUAGUUAUUCCUUGAUUAUAUGCUAAACAAAGGGUGGAUUAUUCAUGAGUUUUCUGGGAAAGGGGUGGGCAAUUUCUGGAACGGUUUUUCCCCUUUUUAGACCAUAUAGGGUAACUUCCUGCUGUUUCCAUGACAUUUGUAAACUGUCAUGGCACUGAUGGGAGUGUCUUUUAGCAUGCUAAUGCAUUAUGAUUACCAUAUAAUAAACGGUGAAGAAGGCCAGAGGUCACUUUUGUCACCAUCUUGGUUUUGGCUGGCUUCUUUACCACAUCCUGUUUGUUGACAAAAAGAGUCAAACUAUAGAAUAUUUGAAGAGGUUUAUUCUGAGCCAAAUAUGAGUGACCAUGGCCCAUAACACAGCCCUCAGGAGGUCCUGAGAACAUGUGCCCAAGGUGGUCAGGGUGCAGUUUGGCUUUAUACAUUUUAGGGAGAAAUGAGACUUCAAUCAAAUACAUUUAAGCAAUACAUUGCUUUGGUCCAGAAAGGUGGGACAACUCAAAGCAGGGGCUUCUAGCUUACAGAUAGAUUUAAAAUUUUUCUGGUUGACAAUUGGCUGAGUUUAUCUAAAGACCUAGGAUCAACAGAAAGGAAUGUUUGGGUUAAAAUAAAGGAUUGUGAAGACCAAAGUUCUUAUUUGCAGAGGAAGCCUUCAGGUAGAAGGCUUCAGAGAGAAUAGGUUGUAAAAUGUUUCUUAUCAGACUUAAAGUCUGUGUUGAUGUUAAUGCCAGGGAUGUAUAAUGAGGCAUGUCCUACCCUCACUUCCCAGGAUAGCCUGAAUCAGUCUUUCAGGUUGAAUUUCAAGAGUGCCCUGGCUGAAGAGGAAGUCCAUUUGGAUGGUUUGGGUGCCUUAGAAUUUUAUUUUUGGUCUAGACGUUUUAUCAGCAAGGUCUUUAUAAAAUGUAUCUUGUGCCAACCUCCUAUCUCAUCCUGUGACUUAGAGUGCCUAACUUCCUAGGAAUGCAGCCCAGUGGGUCUCAGUCUUAUUUUACCCAGCCCCUAUUCAAGAUGGGGUCACUCUGGUUCAAAUGCCUCUAACAAAACCAGAUGGCCUGGGAUGGCACCAGAGCUUCUUAACCCCUGACCAGAUACUGGAGGGAGAUAUGACCCCCAAACCAGCACAGACUGGAACAGAUGACCCCUUGUUACCUUUAGAUCAUUAACAUAUCAUUAUAAUGCUAAAUUUCCCACCCUUAUGUAAAAGGAAAAUAAAUCUCAGGACCCCAAAAUCACUAAGCCAAAGGGAAGACUCAAGUUGGGAACUGCAUCAGGCAAACCUUCCUCCCAUUCUUUUCUACAUACCUCUCUCACAAUUUGCCCACAAGGAAAUUCCUUGUGGACAAAGGACAGAUAGAACUCAAAGUCAUCCCUUUGCUCAUGUAAGACAAGUGCAUAUCUGAUUGCUUCUUUUGCCUUAUUGUUUUCACUAAGCCAGACUAAAGCAUAAGUGACUAUUCCUAUGAAGUGUGUAUUCAGUGAAAGGCUAAUCAAAAACUCAAAAGAAUAUAACCAUUUGUUUCUUAUCUACCUAUGACCUGGAAGCCCCCUCCGUGCUUUGAGUUGUCCCACUUUUCUAGACCAAACCAAUGUACAUCUUACAUGUAUUGAUUGAUGUCUCAUGUCUCCUUAAAACGCAUAAAACCAAGCUGUGCCUCAAUUGCCUUGGGCACAUGUCAUCAGGACCUCCUAAGGAUAUGUCACAGGCACGUCCUUAACCUUGACAAAGUAAACUUUCUAAAUUGACUGAGACUUGUCUCAGAUACUCUUGGUUUACACUUAUAGGAAAAUCACCACCAUUUUCUGAACAUAUGUCACAUGAAGAGGAGAGUUUAUUGUCUACGCCUGUGUCUAGGGUUCCUCCUUGCACAUGUUUGCAUACUUUCCCACCCCAUGGCUAACUCCUUAAAAUUCCCCAGUGUAUUAGUCUGUUCUUAUGCUGCUAAUAAAGACAUACCGGAGACUGGGCAAUUUAUAAAGGAGAGAGGUUUAAUUGACUCACAGUUCCACAUGGCUGGGGAGGCCUCACAAUUUUGGCAGAAGGGCCAAGUGCAGUGACUCACACCUGUAAUCCCAGAACUUUGGGAGGCUGAGACAGGCAGAUCACCGAAGUCAGGAGUUUGAGAUUAGCCUGGCCAACAUGGCGAAACCCCAUCUCUACUAAAAAUUAGCCAGGCGUGGUGGUGCACACCUGUAAUCCCAGCUCCUCAGGAGACUGAGAGAGGAGAAUGGCUUGAACCUGGGAGGCAGAGGUUGCAGUGAGCCAAGAUUGCAUUACUGUACUCCCACCUGGGUGACAGAGUGAGACUCUGUCUCAAAAAAAAAAAAAAAAAAGAAAAAAAGAAAAUCAUCCUGAAGGCAAAGACGAAGCUAAGGCAUGUCUUACUUGGUGGCAGGAAAGAGAGCAAGUGCAGCAGAACUCCUCUUUAUAAAACCAUCGGAUCUCAUGAAACUUAUUCACUAUCACAAGAACAACAUAGGAAAGACCCACCCCCAUAAUUUAAUUACCUCCCACUGGAUCCCUCCCACAACAUGUGGGAAUUAUGGGAGCUACAAUUCAAGAUGAGAUUUGGGUGGGGACACAGCCAAACCAUGUCACCCAGCUUCCCAUGUCUCAGGGAGAAGAUGCUCCUUCUACAUUCCUGGCCAGGAAUAAAAUCUGUUUGUCUUUUUUUCUGAUUGGGUGUUCCUUCUUUGCGACCAAUACAAAGUAGGAAACAAACUCAGUUUACUGGCAACAAGGGGGCUCAAACAACAGGCAGAUUGAUUAUCUACAAAUUGAACAGGCCCCGGAUGUAGUGAAUGCAGGCAAGGUUGGUUCAGUGGCUGUGUAAUGUCACAAGGACUGAGGUUGUGGGGGCCAAGAGAGAACUUUCCCCUUGGCCCUUUAAAGGUUGGCUGGAAAAUCGCUGACAUGAGGCAGAUUGGUUAAUAGGAAAAAAAGGUGUACAAGUGUAUUUAACGUGUAUACACAGGAGCCUUCGAAACGAAGACUCAACUUCCCAAUAAGGUAGAGAAGCUUAUGUGCCAACUUGAGGUUUCAGAAAGAAAGGGGCCUUGGAUUCUGAUAAAACAGGUUAUGGGAACAUGGAGAAGAGGAAGUCUAUUGAUGGGAAUAAAUGAUUAUUCAGGAGAAUGAUUGAAUGGGGAACAGAAAUUAAGUUGUAAAUAGUUCUCUUUGGAAAUUAAGUGAUCCUUGGAGAUAGUCAUCAUCUUGAAAAAGGGUCCAUUCAGGUGGUUACAUUUUGGUCUUACAGGGAGGGGAAGAAAACUGUUCUCCUUGAUAGGUCUGGAUCUUAGGCAGAUAAUGGAACUUCAGUUUCUUUGGAAGAAACGGUGGAAGGUCAGAGAGACCUUGAGUCUUGUUCUUCAGUUCAGCAUGUCGUAUUUUGGGGUACUGGUUUCUGAAAACCAACAGGUUCUUUCCAUCUUUCUGUCCUUCCAUCCUCCAUGUCCCAGCUCUGUCCUCAACCUGUUCCCUUUUUAGGGCUGCUGAUAGAGGUGUAGUGUGGUGGUUGUUAAAAGGAAAACUGUAGAGAAAUUUAACAAAGUUUAAUGGAGCAAAGAAUGAUUCAUGAAUUGGGCAGCCCCCUGAAACAGAAUAGGCUUAGGGCAACUCCAGGGUUGCCAUAUGGUCCAAUACUAUUUAUGGACAAAAAAAGUAAAGUGGCGUAUGGAAGAUGGAAGUGAGGUAAACAGAAACAAUCAGAUUGGUUACAGCUCAGAGUUGGUCUUAUUUGAACGUGGUUUGAACAGUUGGCUGCCUGUGAUCAGCCAAAUCUCAGCUGCUGUGAUUGGUUGAGACUUGGCGACUUGUUGUAAGAGUAGGUUGUGGUGUGUUUACACAUCCAGUUAGGUGACAGUUCACUAUGUAUUAAGAAACCUUUAGUCCCGACUGAAAAUAUCUAAAGAAGAAGCUGUAGACUAAAUUCAAUUUAACAAGACUAAAUCAUGGACUGGAGUUCAAAUCUCAGCUCUCUUGCUUAGAAGUCAUGCCUCAGUCUCCUCAUAUGCAAAGUAGAGGAAAAUGGAGGAAUUUAUCCCACUUGGUUGUGCUAAAAGAUAAACUGGUUUUAUUAAAAUAGUAAAGAGUUUAUUCGAACAGAGAGCAGUUCAUGAAUCAGGCGGCUCCAGAUUGCCAGCAGUCCACAGCUCCAACAAAGGAUCCUGAGGGGAGGAUUUUUAUAAGGUGCACGGAGAGGCAAGACAAAGAAAACAUCUGGCUGGUUUAAGUGCGGCAGUAGCCUAAUUUGAUUCAUUUCAGUGCACAGUUCCUAGUUAGAGUUUACUUGGCAGUUUCUGAUUAAACUUAAGUUUUGUUCUACUUCAACACUGAAUUGGGUUUUGGUUUACUUAUACAGGAACCCAGGGUGCUGGAGUUGCCUCAAUGUAAUGCCCUCCCAAUUAAUUAGCUGUUGCGAUCAUACAAGGAAUAAAUGCUGUCUGCCUUAUUUAUCAUUUUCUUGGCUGAAUCUGACUAUGCUAAUUCCAGACUUCAGACCCACAAUAUACAGUGAAGGAAGAAGAACCAUUCUUUCCAGUGUCUUUGUCUUUCUGUUAGCCUAGAGGGCGCAUGUAGAUUAAUUAGGAAACAUAUCCCCUUCCUUGAACCCCCACGCUGGAUGCUUUCUCACCUGAGGGUGACUUGUGUGCAUUAGACAACAAUGCCCAUUUGCUUUGUGUAAAGACAAAAGUGUUCUUUCUGGGUACCUGCCUCUCCACACUCCUCAUGGGCUGGUGAGCAGAAAUCAUAUGGGUCCACCCUAAAUUUCCUGGGCUGUGUGCUGUUGCUUCAAACCCUAUCUCAAAUGCCACUUAAUUUGCUUACACUGUAUCUUUAAAAUGGAAACUUUCAUCUUCCAUCAUAUCUUAUAAUUAUUUGUUUGUAUUUAAUUCCCCACAUCUGACAGUGAUCUCCACAGUGUCUUUUGCAAAUGUUCUUAAAUGUUUGUUCAUACUACUUAAUCUCUACGGAAUGGUACUGGAUCACUUUAACUUUAGGAGGUGGUGCCUUCUUAGACCUGAUAAAUCAAGUUUAGCUUAAAGCUGCCUCCUUACAUAUUUUAAGUUUGGUCUAAAGGUUUCUCCAUACAUUGUAAACUCUAACCUGACUGGAUGUGUAAAUAGACUGUAACCUACUCUUGUGCCACUCACUGAGCUUUGGUCAAUCACAGGUGCACAACUGUUCAAGUCAUGUUCAAAUAAGACAAACUGAGCUGUAACCAAUGGGCUGUUUUUGUACCUCAUUUUAGUUUUCUGUAAGUCACUUUCCUUCUAUCCAUAAAUCUUCCACCAUGUGGCUGUGCUGGAGUCUCUCUGAGCCUACUCUGGCUUGGAAGACUGCCUGAUUUGCUAAUCAUUCUUUGCUCAAAUUAAACUCUGUUAAAUUUAGUUAGUCCAGGGUUUUUUUUUUGUUUGUUUUUUUAAAAUCAAAUCUUCAGUGACUCUUUAUGGUGGUCAAUUAUGGCCAGGAUGGAUAGGAGACUACCAUGCAGAAAAGUAUGAGAGAGACUUGAAAACCAUGCAGUGAUCUUUAAAACCCUCUGAAUAUGUAUUUUCAAAUGCUGCUUUCAUAAGUCAUUAACCAUAAUUUAUUGAAUGUGUACUAUGUGUAUGGCAUUGUACUAGAUCCUUUAUAAACCAUAUAGAAUUUUUAUAGUAACCUUGAAAAGUAUGUGUUAUUAUAUCCACUGUACAUAUUGGGGGGACUGGAGGCUUAGAAAGUGGAAGUCGAGGCUUGCACACACUUAUUAUGAAAGGCCAGCUGGCAUGAUAGUGGUUCACCCUGAACAGCAGAUGGAACUGAUAACAGGCCCAUUAAAUUAUGGGCCAAAUAGUUUGCAACCUUAAGAAAUCCCUGUGAAAUGUUCAUAGAAUAUUAACUUCUUAUCUUAUCAAAGAAAAUUUUAACCCAUUGAAAUAUAAGAUUUGUGUUAGGGUCUGAAUGGCCAACCAUUUUUUUUUUUCUGUAUGUGUUUGAGAAUAAUGUGUUUUGCAAUUUUUACAUGCAGUAUUUUAUAUAAGCUUAUGGUACAGCUUGUUUAUUGUAUAAUUUAAAACUUCCUUGUCCUUACUAACUUUUGUCUGUUUAUUCUAUUGCUAAAAGUGGUAUAGUAAAUACACUACAAUAAUGCAUUUGUCAAUUUAUCUUUAGUUAUGUCACUUUCUGCUUCAUAUAUUUUGAGACCAUGUUAUUAGGUACAUAAAAUAUAAUAAUUAUAUUUUUUUCUGGCAAACUGAAGCUUAUUAUAAAUGACCCUCUUUGUUGCGAGUAAUGCCUUUUGCAUUUACAACUGAUGGAGACAGGACGCAGCCAAAAGUCCCUGGUGAAACCCCGCCUUCAAGCCUAAAACAGCCUGAAGGAUGAAAAACCAGACUUCUGGUGCCUGAUGAAGCCUGCCCUUUCCUGACUGAUUCUAAAUAAUGCCUACCUGCCAACUGGGAAGGCAGGGUGGAGCCUUCGGAAAUUCAUGACCUUCGCAGGGGAGAGGAGCUUGGCCUCUCCUAUUCCUGUGUGGUGACCUGGGAUUCAAACUGUGAGGCGGAAAACCUGCUAGCAGGAGUCUCGCUUUGCUGAGAGUUAUUUUUCUUUUCCUUUUUAUCCAAUAAAUUCCGUCUUCUCACGCUUCUAUGUGUCUGUGACCCUACUCUUUCCUGGUCGUGUGACAAGAGCCUGGUUUUAGCUGACCUAAGAAGAAAGUUCUGCAACAUUUUUGGUGUCCAGACGUGAGUCUUGAGGAAGGACAAGUACAGACAAUCACCAGGAACUAAGGAACAAGAAGCAUCCAACCCUGCAUCUGUGGGUUUCCUGAGGUGACUCUCAAUUGUCAUAGGGGUGAAGAGUGAGUGAGGAAACCCUUGGAGCACUUGUUUGCUUCACAGACAUCCUGACCUCCUUUCAACUGUAAAGACUUAGUCAGAGGACGGCGGCUCCCUCAGCCUCAUUCUGCAGUUCCAAUGACACUUUUUACAAAGGCUCUGCUCAAAUCUUGAAUAGGUCAAAAAGAGCAAGAGGAAAAUGUCAGAGAAUGGAGAAAGGCAAAUACAGAGAAGCAGUGUGAACAUCCACCCGGCGAGGUGACCUGAUGGUGCUGCUCCAUGUCAGAGACAGUAGUGUCUGGGAAGAGGGAGCCCUUUCCACAGGGUGGAGCAAAAGGCCUGGAGCUGACACCUGGCUCCUGGGCCCACUCGCCCACCACCUCGAGCAACUCCCUUCCUUAACGUCUGCCCGAGUGUUAAGGGCUGAGCACAUGACCUCACAGGAGGAUGUGAGGGGCAGCGGUAACAUGUGUCUAGCACUUUGUCCCUUAUAAGUCACUCACAAAUACUUAUAUCCUUAUUAUCUUCAUCCUUUUCUCUUGAGUUUUUCUCUAAUUCUUUAAGAAGGAAACACGUAGCCAGGAAGUGGAGAGCCUCUCACAUACUUGGGGAGUUUUCAUAUUUCCCCCAUCAGUUCCUUUUCUGGCCUGAGCUCAUGCUCCCUAAGAUCAGGGCUUGGGCUUUGUUUUAGUCUGUGUUGUUAUAAAAGAAUAUCCAACAGUGUGUAAUUUAUAAAGAAAAGAGGUUGACUUGGCUCAUGGUUCUGCAGGCUGUACAGGAACAAGCUUGGCUCCAGCAUCUGCUUGGCUUCUAGGGAGGCCUCAGGAAGCCUUUACUCAUGGGGGAAGGCAAAGGGGAGCAGGCAUUAUGUGAGAGGAAGGAAGAGAGAGGCAGGGGAGGUGCCAGGCCCUUUUAAACAAUCAGCGCCCAUGGGAAAUAACAGAGCCAGAACUCACUCAUUAACUUCAGAAUGGCACCAAGCCAGUCAUAAGGAUCCACCUCCAUGACCCAGACACCUGCCACCAGGCCACGCCCAGUAUCAGGGAUCACAUUUUAACGUGAGACUCGGAGGGGACAAACAUCCAAAUCACAUCUGGCCCCAUAACCUUUGGAGACCUCAGCUCUGGCGCUAGGGUGGUAGGUCCCCUAAGGGUUCGUGCUCUCUGAAGGAAUUGGGUUACAUUACCUGGGAGAGCUUUCUGGAGGAAGUGAGCUUUGCUUCUCACAGGUUUCUAUAAGGAGAAGGAUGGGCUGUUGGAAAGGGAGUGAGUGUGUGUCCAAGUGAGGGAAAGUGAGGUUCAGCAUCUUGGUGCUCUUGGCUCAGCUUCCCUUUCUAUGCCAUGCACAGUGCCUCCAGGAUGCCAGGGGGUGCCAUCCCUGACCUGUUCUGGGGUGGGUGUGCAAGAUGCGAAAUGGCUAAUUUCAGUUCACUGGUAACUCUAACAUUUGGAUAAUAAUUGGCCAUAGCAUUAGCUUUGGUUAUACAUCUCCAAAUGUGUUAUUACAUUAUAUAUAUAUAUAUAUAUAUAUAUAUAUAUAUAUAUAUAUGCACACACACACGUAUACAUAUAUACACACAUCUACACUGUAUUGAUAUGUUGAUAUAUUGAUGUUAUGAAUUAUUUUAAAGAGUAUUCUAUUGAUGUAGAGGAUAAUAUGAAAUUCAAUAUUUUCUGGCACUCUUUUUAAAUGAUACUUAGGCCAUCUGAUGAAAACAGAGCUCAGUAAAGAUUUCUUAUUGAUAAAUCAACAUUACAAAUGAAGACUAGUUUCAUUGCCAUGAUCAGUAAAUUAAGGGUCAUAAAUUAACUGUUGAGUUAUUUUCUUUGCACUAUUAAGCCUUCCACUCAAUCUUUCUACAGUCUUUCUUAUUUAGCAAACGGUGUUACUUGAUAGAAACCUCUGCUGUGAUUUUGUUUUUUGAAAUUUAAUAAGAAAGCUAUAUAAUACAAUUCUCGGGGGAAAACAAGCAAGGUAGGUUUUUCACGGUAACCUCCAAGCAGAGAAAUGGUUUCAGUGCGCAGUCCAGUGAAUUUCCUCCAUAGAGUGUGCUGGAAGAAGUCACCUGGAAGUGAUCACCAGAGUGAUAUUCAGUUUGACUCUCAUUGGUUUGUAUAUAAUUGAUUAUAUAUAAAAACAAAUGCCAGGGUGAGGGUGGGACUAGAGUCCCCCUUUCAGGCUCCUCCCCUUGCAUUUCCAUCUGGUCUUGCAGCAAGUUAACCACGGUCCUAUCUUCAGGUUCAAUUACUCCCUUUAAAAAAUAGGUUUUAACACCUAUGUAUCUCUCAACAUUAUAUUGUUUUAUUUUGAAAAAUUGAAUAAUAACCACACACCUAGCUUUGGAAGCAAGAGGCUUCAUGGCCAGGAUCAGAUAAAUGAUCCUCUUAGAGUGGGUGGGACCUCAGCAUCCCAGAGCGUGUGGAAGAGUGCCUGCCAGGAAGCCACCAGACAAGGUCCUAAGUACAUGCAUGGAAACACUGGGCACGAUGCUGACUGUGGCAUGGGCCAAAAAGUGACAUGGGGCAGAACUUCAGUGGGAGGAGGGGUGCUCUGUACGUUCAGCUUCUAAGCCCACUGUGGCCUUCCUCUUAGGGUUUCACAGAGCCAAGCAGAAAAGGAGCACAGGUGACCUUGGCAGGAAGGCAUGCAUGGGAGAGCAGGUCUGCACUCUGGGACACCAGCCUCAACAGAAUACGAGUUUUGAAUUUUUGAAUUGCUGUUAAAACUUUCAUCAUGAACACUGAAGUGAGUGAAAAGAGACUUUUGCAGUCAUUUUUUUGCUGGCUGCAGAUGACAGUGACACCCUGGGAGUUGAGAAAUGCUUGUAAGAUGGAAGGAGGCUGUGUCCCUGAAUGAUCACCUGGAAGAGAGCCACCUUAGCCAAUGAAACUCCUGCUAUGAAUGUUUGCUGAGCAAGAAAUAUACUUACUGCUUUAUAUGCCUUUGAAGCUAUAGGUUCAUAUUGUUACCACAAUUUAAAGUGCUAUAAUAAAAAGAGUUCAGGAAGCAGGCACAUGGAAGCAAUAAGAGCAACAAACAUUUACACAGUUCUCAGGUCCCUGGACCAUGAAGGGCCACAUCCAAGGAGCUACCCCAGGAGGCCUCUCAUUUGCAUUUGUCCCCGCUAAUGCAGGACAGAGAUCAUGGAAGUUGGGCCCGACUGGAUGAGAUUUGGGGGUCUUUGGAAGUGGAGAAUGUGUUUGCCCUGGGGAAGAGAGGUGAUGUCUAGGAGACCUCUUCACUCAGGGCAAGCUCUAUGACCUGCUUUGACUCCAGAAUGUGGUAGAAGUGGCAUCACAUAAAUUGCAGAGCCUAGGCUUCAAGAGACCUUGCAACUUGCCUCUCACUGACUUGAAGUGCUCCCAUCAGAGCAUCUUGUAAGGAGCAGGUGGAGCAUGUGGACAAGCCAUCCCCACCAGCCCCUGAGACAUGUGAGAGAGGCCAGAACAGGCCAUCCGGACCCCACUGUGCUGGUGGAUGAGACAGCAGAAGGAAUAUCAACCUACCAACAGAAUCCUGAGAAAUGCUCACUCUUACUUCAAGCUGCUGCAUUUUGAUGUUAUGAAACCAUAAAUAACUUAUGAAGUCAUCUUUGCUGACUUAAAGUUUUCCAUAACUUUAUUAUAACAUAUCAAAAUUAUGAAAAAUGUGAAAAGUAGAAAACUGAUGAAUUUUGCUUCUUCAUAUGGUCUUUAAGAAUCUCAAAGGCACUGAAGUUUUUUAUCUUUUCUGUCUUAGAAUAAAAAACCUUGAAUGAAAAUCUGCUUCUUGGAAAAGCAGCAAGGUUUAUGCAGAGGCAAUCUGGUAUUUGUGUGCACUGGCAGCUGAUCAUACCCAGCAUGCACGCACUCUCAGGGCAGAGUCUGAUGCCCCACAUAAUGGGGCAUGGUAAGGACUCCCAUGUCCUUGAGAUAAAAUGAUAAGGAAAAUACACACUGCUAUUAGAAUAACAGGCCCAGCUUCUGCACAUUUUAAUUCCCAAAGUUUUCAUGAAAGACAAUGAUUUUUUGGUACCAUGUUUAACUCUACAAGAAUCAGUAGUGAAAACUAAAAAUGAUACUUUGUGAAAGUUCAUUAAUUUUGUUUUCAGCCAGUGGUGGCCUUGGUCAGAUAGAAUCAAAUCUAUGAUACUUUUUAUCAGAAAUGCUUAUACUGUGUACAAACCCAAAGUGAUGGCUUUCAAAGAUUGAAUUUGAUUAUUUUCUGUAUGGUGCAGAUGAAAAAUUACUACACAGGAGAAGGUGGGUUGGAGGUGCUCACGAGUAACCAGGAAACAGUCUGAAGUUUUUCUGAUACUUCUCCUUGGUCCAACCAAAUGUGAGAUAUAAACACAAACUUGGGAUUCCGUUCUUAUGUUUUGGUUGUUUCAGUCUUUACAGAUGUAUCGAAAGGCUGUCCAAAAAUGUCUGACUUCUGUAGUGUGCCUUCGUAGCACUAGAGGGUUCUGCAGCUGUGAAACUGAAGGCAUUGGCAAGAAGCCCUCCAUCUUCAAACCACUUUCUGCUAAGGUGUGGCUCUAUAAAACCACUAUGAGCUGGGCUUCACUGAGACUGAGUUGUUUCAGUAGGAUCUUCCGGAAAAACAUGUUCCCUCCUUUACCUGGGUUGUCAUUCUGAGAACAAUCACACCUCCAAUUUUGGCUUACUAAGCAAUAGCGUUUUAAUGAUUUUAAGCCAGGAUUUGCUCCUCCUUUCCUCAGUAUGAGAGCUUAACCACUGGAGGAACCAAGAAUUCAUGCUGGUUGGGUUCUGAUUCCACUUUAACUUACUGUAUAGCCUCAUCCCUUGUUUUUCUGGAGAUUCUCUUUUUCUGCUUCACUGAUUUAUAUUUACAUUAAAAUCAAAUGAGGCCAUGUUUCUGAAAUCACAUUGUCCCUACAUGGUCAUUACAAUGAGUCUGUAAUGUGACUGAAAGACAGCCAUGGAUACAGGUAGAGGAUAUCAGGCAAUUGAAUGCUCAUCAAGCAUUCAAUUCAGGGCAAAUGGCAUAAGGUAUGCAGUUGGCCUCUUCUGAUAUCUGUGUCUUAAUCCUUUCUUUAGCCUCUGUUUUCUGGACCAAGGCUAAGAUAUUUUCUGGGCACAGUGGCUCAUGCCUAUAAUCCCAGCACUCUGGGAGGCCAAGGUGGGAGGAUUUCUUCAGCCCAGGAGUUCGAGACCAGCCUGGGGAACAUAGGAGACCUCAUUCCUACAAAUAAUAAAAAAAAUUAGCCAGCUCUGGUGGCGUGUGCUUAUUGGUCUCAGCUACUUGGGAGGCUGAGGUGGGAGGACUGCUUGAGCCCAGAAGAUCGCAGCUGCAUUGAGCCAUGAUUGUGCCACUGAACCCUAGCCUGAGCAACAGAGCAAGGCCUUAUCUCAAAAAAAAAAAAAAAUUCUGAGCCUUCUAAUUUUUUUUUUCUUUAAUUAACUUUCUGUAAGCCCAGCAAGUAAAUAAAACACUUAUUUUAUGAAGCAUCUAGUUGCUUUUAGGGGAAGGGACAUCCUCCGCAUAGUAUCUAGGCCAGCUCACUUUCUUCUCCUUACUGUUGAUUUACUCUCUGCCAUUGAAUCUUCUGUGCCAAUGUUGGAUUAAUGUUUCCGGGCCCUACUUUCAUCAUGCUCCUCUGUAUUAUCACCUGUUUUGGUUUACAGCAAUGAUUUUUAAGGUAAGGCAUGGUGUGUCCAUCAUAGUCACAUGGGAACUUUUUCAAGCCAUAUUAAAAAUGUCCCCCAUUCAUCAUUCUGCCCCUGGAACAGUGUGUGCAGUUGGGACCUUCAAGUAAAUCUACUUUGUUGAAACCCACUGAUCAGCAUGGUGUAUUUCAUAACUCUUUGACUUACAUUCAAGAAAUUCCUUAACCUGAACUCCAUUUUACUCUUUUUUUCAUUCAUUCAAAUUAAGAAUAUUGCCUGAACAUGAAUUAUCUGCUAGACGUUUUUCUAGGUGCAGGAGGAGUAAGGAUGAACAUAACUAGCCAUAACUAUAGCUAUCAAUUGUGGAGUGUCUGUUAUGUGCCAGGCACUUUUAAGUGACCUACUCGAUUUACUUGCAUGACAAACUGUGAGGAAAAGCCCAAUAUUAUCCCCUAUUAACAGAUGAGGAAACUGAAGCACAAACAGCAUGAAUAGUUUGUUCCAGAUUGCAUCAUAAGAGGCACAGCCAGCUUUCCUACCAAAGCAGCCCUGGCCCAGAGUCCGUACUCCCUCCUCCCCUGCCUCUGCCUGGUGGAUAAGGUCACCCUGGCCUUGUGGAACUUAUGCUCUAGUGGGGACAAAUAGUUAUAGAGAAUGACCGAUGUUACUAAGAAAAUAAAAGCUGGUAAGAAAACAGAAGCACUGAGGAGGUGACUGAAGUGAGCAUUUAUAAUUUUAUGUUAUAUCCAUUGUAAAAUAUAAGUUUAGCUUUCUCAUACCAGAAGCAGGGCUCAGUCCACCCUUGACUCAGUUUCCAAUACUGUUCCCCAUCAGAAUGGCUCUUGCUGGUGGCCAGAAGUAAAACUUAGAAAUAUCUCUCUCAGAGACACCUAAGCAGGCUGGGCUCCCCGGUUUCCUGUUGCUUCCUUUAAAGAAGCUCUUCAGACAUCUGCACAAGAACUCAAAGUGACCACCUCUCAGCCCAGCAUGACCUACUGGAACUAAUGCCUGCUUGCUUUCAACCUACCAAUUAAAGCUCCCCAGGAAACCUGUUUAGAUAACACCCUGGACCCAAGAAAGGUGCUGGGCCAUGGGUUUCUUCUCUCUCUCCCUAUCUGUGCUCCCUGACCCCCUGUGUGUGUGUGGUCUCUAGGCUUGCCUUCUAUCCCUGAGGGUCUGUAAAUACUAAAAACACUUAAACUUUCAUAUUGUAGUUGUGUCUUUGAAGCCAGGUCCCCAUCCCGUACCUUGAGGGCAAGGCCUCCUGGAAGGGACCCAUGUAGGUGGAUCCCCUGCUGUCCAGGCCUCUUAGCUGCUGGGGUAGUGACCAGUUAAGUGGAUAGAGUUUCAUUCAAAACAAUAAUCAUUCAACUGUAUCUCACAUCAAACCUCUGCUCUAGUUUAUGUAUCUACUUUAUGUUCUUAGAAGACUGUGCAAACACAUUGUCUUUUUUGAGUACCUGUCUUGUCCUAGGUACUCUGCUUGGUACGGGGAGAGACGAAUCUUCUGUCUUCAGGGGCUUCCACUCCAGCAGGGAGAACAUGACUAAUAGUGACUGCCUGCUGCUGUAGGUAAUAAGUGGCUCCCACUAGGCCCUCCAUUUGGUGGCCCCCUGUCCCUCUCACUGGUGGAAGCCUACCUGUCCUCUAAGGACCAGCUCACUAAUGUCCUAGAUCCUCACGGACCAGAUUGCUUUUCUCAGAACUGAAGAGCACUUACUAAUGGCACCUCUUGUCAUAUGCCAUCCCAGGAUUUGAAUUUUUUUUUUUUUUCUGUCUUGUGGCCCAAAUAAAUCCUGAACUCCUCGAGGGCUGGGAGUGUAUCUAGCAGUUUCCUUAUACUGGACUAAUCAGAUGCUGACUAGGUAGCAGUGAGAAAAAUCUAGAAAUUCCCUUUUAGCCACAUCGACUUACACGAGGGGAUGUGUGUAAGGUACUAUAGCUCUUUAAACAAGAGGUGGUCUCGUUUGAAGGGUGGAUUGAUGUGGGUGUUCAAAUGAUGUCACAAGUGGCUGGUUUCUCUGUCUCCAUUUCUUUUUUUUUUGGCUCCAUUUCCAAAUUUCCCAGAUAGCACAGCAAGUUGGCCCCAGCAGCUCUAGACACUCCAUCUUCUCAGGGCAUAGCCAACACAAUAAAAUAUUUCAAGUUCCUGAAAGAUAGCUGAAAUAAGCCCUAGAAGUUUCUGGAUUGGGAGCAGAGCCAAACCUGCCAGCUCACAUAGAUGAGGGCAGGGAAUAGGGUGUCUCACGAUCACAGUGUCCUGCCUUCUGAUUUGCCUGGGACUGUCCUGUUUUGGCACCAAAAAUAUCUGCAUCCUAGGAAACCCUCAGGUCCUGGGCAAAUUCAGACAGUGACUUGCCCUAUCAGAAGCAAAGCAAGGUGCCAUUACCUGAGGUGGGCAAAUUCAGACAGUGACUUGCCCUAUCAGAAGCAAAGCAAGGUUGCCAUUACCUGAGGUGGGCAAAUGGAGGCUGGGUGGCCAGUGAGUGACCAAUAACCCCAGCAUUGGAGAGAGUGGAGCAGCCCUUCAAGAAGUUCCAACCUCUGCCCAGGACUGGUUUUACCAACUUCACUAGGCUUAGAAUCGUAGGAAGUCUAUUUGGGACUUGCGAGUCUCACGUAUUCCUGCCUAAAUGUUUAUGGAUACCUGUUUAGAGCUGAAAUCUUUUCAGCUCCCAUAAUAUGAGGGAAUUAGGUCUCAAAGAAGAUCAUGUAUUUUGAUCAGACCUUAUAGCUGAGCAGUGGAAAGAAAAAAAAUCAGUGUGAGAUCUCCCAGGGUUCCGCAGGAGUGGCUUCCUUAGUCCAACUGGCAGCCUAUCCUGGAAUAUUGCCUGGGAGAGAGGUUAGUUGCUUUUCCUGGUGCUAGGAACUGAAUGGUUUUACAUAUUGAUCAAUGAAAAUACUUAUUUGGCCUACAAUAGGUGCAAAAAUACUGCUAAUUACUAACAGUAUCUCUUCUUUGCUGCGUGCCAGACACUCCACUGGGCAUUAUGCAGUUAAUAUGUACCAUGAAUUUCCCGUGGUUAGCAAUGAUGUCAGGCAUAGAAAAGACAUGAAAUUAUGAUGUCAAAUGAAUAAACUGGAAAAAGGAAUUUCUUGAAUUUUCUCCAGCUGUCCUAAGAAUGUAUCUAUACUUUGAUCCUGGCCUACCUUUUCAACAUCUAAACUUUAUUCCCCCAAGCUUCUAGAUAUUCAAAGUUAAGUAUUAAAUAAAAUCAGUAAAUAUAUACAAGCUUGUUUGGCCAUUCUGAAUAAGGUUAUAUUUCCACCACACAAUCUCCAAAUUCUCUAGCAGAAGGGAUCAGUAUGUUAUAGAUACCCCCUUUCCUUCCCUCCCUGGCAAGCCACCACAUCUGUUAUGGGUACUCAAUGCAGUGGCUGCACCUGGGCCUCACUCAUUAAGCAGUUGUUGAUUGAGUGACUGAAUUGAAUGCCUGAUGAGCUCGCAAGUAAGAUUCAGACUGUGCCUGCAAACUAAUAGGAUCCCUCCGCUUUUUAUUCACUACUGCUGAGGUAGAUCUCAGGCCAGCCUGAAGUUUAGGUCUACUGAGAAAUAAUAAGCCUCAAAAAUCGAGCUUUGCUUCACCCAGUCUCCCAGUAAACACUAAGAAAUGUUCACAUUAUUUACACAUCCUAGACUGCCUGUCUUAUGGACCAAAUGUUUGUGUUCUCCCCGCAAUUUAUACAUUGGAAUCCUAACCCUCAAUGUAAUAGCAUUAGGUGCUGGGGUCUUUGGGAGGUGAUUGGCUAAUGGACCUGGAGCCCUCAUGAUGGGAUGAGUCCCCUUAUCAGAAGAGACCUGAGAAGGCUUGCUUCCUCUCCCUGUGCUCUUCAUGAUGUGAAGACACAAGAAGACAGCCAUCUGUGGGCCAGGAAGAGGUCCUCACUGGAACCCAACCAUGCUGGCACCCCAAUCUUGAAUUUCUAGCUUCAAGAACUUGGGAAAUAAAUGUAAGCCAGCCAGCUUAUGGAUUUGUUACAGCAGCCUAAGCUAAGUCAGAGUCUCUAGAACAGCUGGUCUGGGGCAGCGGUGAAGGGAGGUGGGUGGGCAUAUGACCCUGCCCUGCACAUGAAUGGCAAAGGCAACUGGAGAGCCUCUCCCUUUUGGUGAGAUCCCCAGUCCACAAGGGCAUGUUCAUCCAUAGCUUUACUUCCCGAAGCAAAUUCUGGUUCCUGGGGCCUGUGCCUCCAUAGAUGGCAUGAUCUGCAGCCUCCUGUGGUAAUUUACCCUCUUCCUAAAUUUCUGAGUCUUCACAUUUAAGCAAUCCUAGUUAGAUAUCCUCUACCUGUAUCCAUGGCUGUCUUUCAGUCACAUUACAGACUCAUUGUGAUGACCAUGUAGGGACAAUGUGAUUUCAGAAACAUGGCCUCAUUUGAUUUUAAUGUAAAUAUAAAUCAGUGAAGCAGAAAAAGAGAAUCUCCAGAAAAACAAGGGAUGAGGCUGUACAGCAAGUUAAAGUGGAAUCAGAACCCAACUGUAGUCCAUUAUUUGUUUCAAUCCUGCUCUUUUCUACCAUAUCACCCAGUUUCCAAAUCGUUCAGCAAAUUGCCAUGGUCAAUGGGAUUAACCUUUCCCUUUUAUUCUCAGGAAAUCUCCCUUGUCCAUUUUGCAAGACUGUGUGAUUCUUUCUACUGUUACAAGGAAUAAAAGCCUUCCUAAAAAGGUCUUUGGUGCCUUUAUUAUUUUACGGAUCAUUUCUGAGGGAAUUAUUGAACUUCAUUAUGUAACCACCCCUUGGGUUCACCUUGCCCACUGCCUAGACAGAGCCAAUUUAUCCAGACAGGAGAAUUGCAAUGGAGAAAGAGUAAUUC
rnacentral:lncRNA from 10 species